UACGGAGGAGGCAAGCGUUAUCCGGCAUUAUUGGGCGUAAAGCGUCCGUCGGUGGCCAUGCAAGUCUGCUGUCAAAGCAUGGAGCUUAACUCCAUAGAGGCAGUGGAAACUGAAUAGCUAGAGAUCGGUAGGGGCAGCGGGGAUUCCCAGUGUAGCGGUGAAAUGCGUAGAGAAUGGGAAGAACAUCGGUGGCGAAAGCGCGCUACUAGGCCGAAACUGACACUGAGGAACGAAAGCUAGGGGAGCGAAAGGG
rnacentral:rRNA from 1 species